rnacentral:rRNA from 1 species
UACGUAGGGGGCAAGCGUUGUCCGGAAUCACUGGGCGUAAAGCGCAUGUAGGCGGGAUAUUAAGUCAGGUGUGAAAACUAUAGGCUCAACCUGUAGACUGCAUCUGAAACUGGUAUUCUUGAGUAUUGGAGAGGAAAGUGGAAUUCCUAGUGUAGCGGUGAAAUGCGUAGAUAUUAGGAGGAACACCAGUGGCGAAGGCGACUUUCUGGCCAAAAACUGACGCUGAGAUGCGAAAGCGUGGGGAGCAAACAGGAUUAGAUACCCUGGUAGUCCACGCCGUAAACGAUGGGUACUAGGUGUUGGGUGUCAAAGCUCAGUGCCGCAGUUAACACAAUAAGUACCCCGCCUGGGGAGUACGGUCGCAAGACUGAA